GUGCUGGGCUGAGUAAAUUACAGCAGACUGGGGAAGAGAGCAAGGCAAUAAAUGCCCAGUCAGCAGGUGGUGGAGAGUAUCAGCUGGGUGCUGUCCUCUUUAGCUGCUUGGGGGCUGGUGCUGCUCCUCCCUUGCUCCUGCAGACAAUAUUUCCUGCUUUGCUUCCCUGCUGAAAGUCCUUCCUCAUUCCAGGAACAGCAGUGCUGGAGGAGCUUGUAUGUUUUUGAGCUAUCCAGGAGGCCUUCCAAAGUGAUGGGGAGAGACAAGGACAAAAACCCUUCUUGGGACAGAAACUCUGUUACCUCGGUGUUUAUUUAAGAUCCUAAGGUAAUUCAGGAUGGAAGGGCCCCCUAAUGCUCUUUGAUCCAGAGCAAUGUGACAGCAGGCUGCUGUGGGCUUAGUCUGGCCUGGCCCUGAAAGCCCCUGAGGACAGAGGGCACAGCCUCGCUCCCCAGGUAGCUGCUCCACUGCCUGACUCUUCCCACCAUGAUCAUGUCUUUCCUUCUGUCCAGCCUGAACCCCUCUCCUUGCAGUUUAUGCCUGGUGACUUUUGCCUUCCCACCAUGGACCCCUGUGCAGAGCCUGGCUCCAUCCUGCAGACCUCUGCUGAACUCGCUCCAGCUGCCAUUCCCAGAGCAGGGGGCCCAGAGCUGGACACGGCACCUGGAUGUGAUCCAGUAAGUGCUUAGCCUGGGACAGCGAUGCUUUCCUCCAUCAGCAGCUCACAGGGUGAUACAGCCGGGACGCUGCUGGCUUCUGCCUGGCAGCACCUCCAGAGCUCCACCACAAAGCCCCUCAGCUGCCACCCCAUAACCACGCAAGGGCUCUAGCUAACCCCAAAACGUAACUCCGAAUCCUAACCCGUAAAAUGAAAAGAAAAAAAGGUGACAGAGUCGCUGUCCCCGGAGGUGUUUCAGGAAAGCCUGGACGGGGCACUCGGUGCCAAGGUCCAGCAGACACGGAGGUGCUCGGUCACAGGCUGGACUCGGUGCUCCCGGAGGCCUUUCCAACCUGACUGAUUCUGUGAUCCGGUGAUUUUAAAACCCCGCCAGGCACUGCUCAGCUCUGGAACAGUCCUCUGUGCUGAAAGCGCGUUAAUUCCUUGCCACAGCCCCCAGUACA